GACUACAUCACGUUGAAACACCGUUUCUCGUAAGAUCAUCAAAGUUAAGCAACGUUGAGCCUGUUCAGUACCUAGAUGCGUGACCACUUAGGAGUUGUA